UAUAAUGGCCUCUAAGUGUUCAAGUGAAAGGAACAGUCUCAUAUCACUCACUUUAAAUCAAAAACUAAAAAUGAUUAAGCUUCAUGAGGAAACCUUUUGGAAUAAAUUCACCAUUCCAAAUGCCUUUAAGAACAUUUGUGAUUCAUGGGAGCGGGUCAAAAUGUCACCAUUAACAGGAGUUUGGAAGAAGUUGAUUCCAACCCUCGUGGAUGACUUGGAGGAAUUCAAGACUUCAACAGAAAAAAUAACUGCAGAUGUGGUGGAAAUAGCACGAGAACUGGAGGUAGAAGUGCAGCCCGAAGAUGUGACCGACUCACUCACUACAACCUCAUGAUCACAUGCCACAGAGAAAGCUUUGGUGAAAGGAAGAGCCGAUCAAGAGCAGCAAACUCCAUUGUUGUCCUAGUCAAAGAGGUUGCCACAGCCACCCCAGUGAUGGCCUUCAGAAAUCACCACCCUGAUCAGUCAACAGCCAUCAGCAUCAAGGCAGGACCCUCCACCAGCAAAAGGAUCAUUACUCACUGAAGGCUUAGAUGAUCAUUAGCAUUUUUUAACAAUAAAGUAUUUUUAACUAAGCCCUUAUUUUUUUACCCUAGAGAAGAAGACAAAUACUACCUCGGACAGAAGGAGAACAAGAUGUAGGGGCAGUUCCUGUUAAUCAAGAAGGGGAAAUAGGAAAUUCUUACUGUGAGAGGAGAUAUAUCUGCAAGAGAGACAGAAGGGUAACCUGUGAGUAGUCAGCACAAGCCACGGACUAGGUCUUGACUGUAUCUCAUCUAUGAAUCACACAUUCAAUGAGCUGCCCACGAUUUCCUUCAUCACACCUCUACAUUGGAUUCAAGGGGUUUUUCCAACCACCACUUCUUUAAGGCCUAUAGCAGCUUCUCAUUGAAU